CUACAUUCCAGAUAUAAAAAAAGUCCGAAGUUUAAAACUUCGGACUUUUUUUAUAUCUGGAAGAACC
rnacentral:misc_RNA from 1 species